rnacentral:lncRNA from 1 species
GGGUGGAUAGGGAAGGACCAUCAGGUGGAGGUGGGGCUAGGCGUGUCUGAGCUCAGACUCUUUUUGGGUGGGUCCUGCUGAAGCUGUUGUUGGGGAUGGGGGUGACAUUCCCAGGUCACUGGAGUUAUGUACCAGGAGGAUUAAGGCUGCCUCUGCUGAGUCAUGCAGGUUGUCAGGGAAGUCGGAGAAAGCUGACAGUCACUGGCCUCACCCAGCUCCCACGCAAACUGAAGGGCUGGUCUCACUCUCACUAUGCCCCCGUAACAGAGUCAGUUUUUAGGCGGAGGGUGAGAAUGGCUUGAAAAUUUGCUGAAUGCUAUCCAUCUCCCAGCCCCCAGAGAAAAGGGCUUUAGUUCCUCCCCCUGCCUGUGAAGUCUGCAGGCCAGAUUCGCGCCCUCCCCUGAGUUCUGGCCAGGAGGCUUCUUGCCCUGUUCAAAUGGUUACAAAGUUCAGCUAGAGAAUUCCUUCUCCCUGUAGAGUUUUACCCCCUGCUCCUCUGGCCGCCCUCCGGAUGGAUCUUUGUGUUGCCAGGCAGGAAUGGGCUGCUUGGGGACCCAGUGAGCUCCGAGGGCCUUUCUGCUGCUUCCUGUACCCCUGUAUUUCGCUCAGCUCUCUGACUUGACUCAGCUCCAGACAUCUACCCCUGGAGAAAGAGCCCAAUGAGAAGUAAUCUCUGAAGCCCAGAUUUCCUAAGGAUGAAGCUUCAGGAGAGGCCUUAUCAAUCCUGACAACAAACUUUUCUCGUCAAUUUAGUUUCAUUUAAUGGAAGUUUUAAAUGUGUAAAGUUCAGAAGGCUAUUAAAAUUGGUUCCAGCUAUCUAAGAUACACACACAACCACACACGCGCACACACGGUAGAGAUAAAUAUGUUCGAA